CAACCACCAGAUAACACAUCAGAAGCGACAAAUUCCGCUGGGAACUCGGCAAAAUCACAUGCGGCGCACUAUACCAGUACAAUUCACGAGGCGAAUACUAGGAGGAGAGAGACGCACGCACCAGUACCGCACGCGCUUGCACCCGGAGCACUUCUUGGAGGUGACGACACCGCACGCGGCGCAGGGCCCCGUGAGGUCCGCUGCGGCGCCCCCCUGCUCCGGCCGGUUCCCCUUGGACGACAUCGGGGAGGCGGGCGAGCUGUGGUGGUGAUCGUCGUAGGAGGCGGCGAACCCCGCGGCGUCGACGACGAAGUAGCGCGAGGCGGCGCGGCGCACGGCAACGACGGCCGCGGAGAAGAGCACGAGCCCGACGACCGCCGCUUGGAUCACCGCCGAAAGGUCCAGUCCCAAGCCCGCGCCCGCGCCACCGCCUCCGGCGCCGCCCCCCAGCAUCUAAUGUAGCCGGCCCCUAGGGUUAGGGUUCCGCGCCCGGCGUCCGGCACCGACCAUCCGAGCCCAACCAGACUGCGAGCCGCCCGGACACAGGUGACACAGGCCGCAGCGCGGACCGAGUCCGAAUCCUAACUGGUCCAGCCGCACCGCCCGCGCCGCAGUCUCAGCCGGAGCCGGAAGGGACACUGCCGCUGGCGCGCUUUUCUCUCCUAUUGGGCUCGCCGCGCUACCGUCACUGACGCGCGGGACGGGGCGGGAGGGGCCGGUCUGGCAGUGGAGAUGGGGCGGAGCGAGUCAACGCCGCGGUCGCGGAAACGGCGGGGGAAGCGAGGCGUGUUUGUGUUCCUCGGUUUACGCAUCGAUAUAAAACAAGGAAAAGCCUACUACUAGAAUGGAACAGAAUGUUGCGGAUCUUGUGGCUUCGGUUUUAGGCUUCUGUCGCCUUUCCUCUUAUCAGAUGGAAGGGAGAUAUGACAUGAUCGAGUCUUCGAGACUGGUCUGGUGAAGAUGACGAGAGAAUAUUUCUUUUUCUCUUUAUUAUGAAAAGGGGAUUGAGCGUUUGUUUGGGGUCAAUGGAAUUAGAUGU
rnacentral:misc_RNA from 1 species